GGCCUGUAUGCUGAAAACUAAUAAGAUACCGAUGAAAGAAACUGAAGAAGACACAAAUAAAUUGGAAUAUAUUCUGUGCUCAUAAAAAUACAGUCUAGAUGUUUAAUACAUCCAUAUCAAAUCCCACUGGCAUUUUUCACGGAACCAGAACAAAUAAUCCUAAAAUUUGUGUGGAACCACAAAAGACCUCAAAUAACUAAAGCAAUCUUGAGAUAGAAGAACAAAGGUGGAGGUAUCAGAAUUCCAG